UACGGGGGGAGCAAGCGUUGUUCAGAUUUACUGGGCGUAAAGGGCGCGUAGGCGGCCACCGCAAGUCAGUUGUGAAAUCUCUGGGCUUAACCCAGAAAGGUCAACUGAUACUGCGGGGCUAGAGUGCAGAAGGGGCAACUGGAAUUCUCGGUGUAGCGGUGAAAUGCGUAGAUAUCGAGAGGAACACCUGCGGCGAAGGCGGGUUGCUGGGCUGACACUGACGCUGAGGCGCGAAAGCUAGGGGAGCGAACGGG
rnacentral:rRNA from 1 species